AUGAAAAAUAGAACACUUAACUUUAGAAACAUGCACACGCACAUACUUGUGUGCAAUAUUGGCCAGCACACAAAGAUUCCAGUUUCAGACUCUGCUCUGAUCAUCCCUAGACACACAGAGAUCUCAUGUGAAGGGACACUUUUUUCCUUUUUCCCUCUUCCUUCUUCUCCUCAUCUUCCUGCUCUUUUUCCUCCUCCUUGUUUUUUCAGUACUAGUGCUCAAACCCACGACCUCAUGCAUGCCAGCCAGGAUUCUGCAACGGAGCUACGUCCUCAGCCCAAUUUCCCCACCUUGACCACUUUUCUCCAGCCUGUUUCAGAUAGUUCUGGAACCCUUCCCCACUCUUCCCAAGUCAAGUAUCUUUGCUGGGGCUCCCUGUGACCUGCAGAACUACUGCCUGAGAUAGAAUCUCUGCUUUGCUUAUUUCCAGCUGAGACCCUGGAGCAAGUUAAGUUAAUUACCUGAUCUAGGCCUCCGCCUGGCACUGGUGAACCGGGAAUAAUAAGAUUGAUGCAAAAAUAAAUGAGUUAGCAGAGGGUGUGCAUAGGGUAAGCUAUGACUGUCCUGCCGCCCCAGCCCCACCCUCGCACAGCCACCAGGACUGAGUGAUCCCUAACCUUAACCACAACCUUAACCCCUAAUACCUAACACUAACACUAAACAUAACCCUAAUCCCUAACCCCUAACCCUAACCUUAACCUCACCCUCAAAGUGACUCUGGGAAAUCCUUGUGUGAACCACCUCUCCAUUCCAUGUGUCAGGCAGUCCUGCUUCCCGUCCCUCUGGUUGAUGGAUUAGUUCCCAUCCAACCACAUUAUUUGCUCAUUUCUUCAGAACCUCUUGGGGACUGUGCUGGGGUGGGGCCAAGGGGCCAGGACAGUAGCAGUUUACCCUGUGCACACCCUCUCCCAAGUUGAGUCUCCAGACACAACCUUCUUCUACAUAAGACCCAUCUAUCUUCUACAUAAGGCCCAGGAGUAUAAAGUUAGUUGUUGUUGUUUUCUUCCUUCUUUUGUUCUCUGUGUAUUUAAACCAGAUGCAGCAUUUUUUGACUUGUCCCACCCUUCUAAUUAAUUUUCUUAAUGUUUAUGGGUGCGUAUCCCACCCAGUUCUCUAAGUUGUUUCUUCCUGUGCCCCAUCUGAAUGCCAGGCUCGAGUUGAAUUGGUCUUGCUGUUCCUCUGCCGAAGGGCUGGCCACAAAGCCUGGUGGAGUGGGGGGCCACAGCCUGCUGGGACUUCAGAUGUCUGGAUAUCAGCCCCGUCCUCUGACCUUCCCCUAGGAUACAAUUUUAGCUAAGACUUAAAACAAAGCACCUCUAGGGGGAAACAGGCUAGCUGCAAUUCAGAGGAGAAUAAAUAUUGGUACUAAGUUUUUUAAUUCUGAGAGGAAUUAAAAGAAAGAAAGAUGAGAACGUCAGGCUGCUGGAUGGUUGGAGGGAGGAAAAAGAGGGGGAGCUCUACUGGAGGAAGAAAAGGGAC
rnacentral:lncRNA from 1 species